GUCUGGCAGACUUGGGCGGGUUGUCCCGGCGGUGCAGGACAGGAAACCGGUGUGAAUCCGGUGCGGUCCCGCCACUGUGACCGGUCGCCGCGUGCGUGCGCGUGGGGGCCGGGAGUCAGACACUGACGCACCGCCUCUUCACUUC
rfam:Streptomyces sp. C genomic scaffold supercont1.1, whole genome shotgun sequence.